GACGAACGCUGGCGGCGUGCUUAACACAUGCGAGUCGAACGGAAAGGCCCUGCUUUUGUGGGGUGCUUGAGUGGCGAACGGGUGAGUAACACGUGAGUAACCUGCCCUUGACUUUGGGAUAACUUCAGGAAACUGGGGCAAAUACCGGAUAGGAGCUCCUGCUGCAUGGUGGGGGUUGGAAAGUUUCGGCGGUUGGGGAUGGACUCGCGGCUUAUCAGCUUGUUGGUGGGGUAGUGGCUUACCAAGGCUUUGACGGGUAGCCGGCCUGAGAGGGUGACCGGCCACAUUGGGACUGAGAUACGGCCCAGACUCCUACGGGAGGCAGCAGUGGGGAAUAUUGCACAAUGGGCGGAAGCCUGAUGCAGCAACGCCGCGUGCGGGAUGACGGCCUUCGGGUUGUAAACCGCUUUCGCCUGUGACGAAGCGUGAGUGACGGUAAUGGGUAAAGAAGCACCGGCUAACUACGUG
rnacentral:rRNA from 1 species